GAUGAACGCUAGCGGGAGGCUUAACACAUGCAAGUCGAGGGGCAUCACGAGGUAGCAAUACUUUGGUGGCGACCGGCGCACGGGUGAGUAACACGUAUGCAACCUACCCUGUACAGGGGGAUAACCCGGAGAAAUUCGGACUAAUAUCCCAUGAUGAUAUUGAGGGGCAUCCUUUAAUAUUUAAAGCUCAGGCGGUACGGGAUGGGCAUGCGGAACAUUAGCUAGUUGGCAGGGUAACGGCCUACCAAGGCUACGAUGUUUAGGGGACAUGCGAGGGUUAUCCCCCACACUGGUACUGAGACACUGACCAGACUCCUGCGGGAGGCAUCGGGGAGGCGUAUUGGUCAAUGGGCGCAAGCCUGAACCAGCCAUCCCGCGUGAAGGAAGAAGGCGCUAUGCGUUGUAAACUUCUUUUCCAGGGGGUGAAUAAUUCCGAUGUAUCGGGAGAUGACGGUACCCUGGGAAUAAGCAUCGGCUAACUCCGUGCCAGCAGCCGCCGUAA
rnacentral:rRNA from 1 species